AAGGGGAGUAAAGGGGAGGGAGAAAAGAGGAAGGAGAAGAAGAGUAGGAAGAAGGCUUCCCCCUUGAUUUCUAAAGCCGCACCUUCCCUUUUUGUCAUUGAAAUAGUGACCGAUGUCUUGAGAUCUGCAUUUUGAGGAUUUAAGAAGAGAAACAAAGAUUUGGGAGUUUUGGAGAGAGGAUCUCAAGUUUGGGGUUUCUUGAGCCAAGGUUUUGAGACACUCAUCUUCAUUCCGGAUCUCACCCCAUACCAUGAGUGCGUGUUCUCCUAUAAGAAUAGAUGAUUUUACAGGCUAUACGGUAGAGGAACCCAUGUAGGGUCCCAUCGAUAAAACCCCAUUGGGGAUUGGUGGGUCCCCGAAGGAUUAGAUCAUGGUGACGGUUGCCCGUGCAAGAGUUGUGUUGUAGGGCAACAGUAGCAGACUCUAUUUUCUGUAUUCUUGUUUAUUAUUUUGGUAUACUUCCCCUUUUGUGCUCUCGAUAGUUAAAUUGUUAUUUCUUGUAUAAAUAUCCUGCCUACGGGUCCACAUGUAAUUAUACCAUGUAUAACAAUUUGGGUAUUAAGAGUAUAUGGGGGAACUAUAAGUAUUUAUAUAUGACUAGACUUCCGUUCAAAUGU